rnacentral:rRNA from 1 species
CAGUGAGGAAUAUUGGUCAAUGGGCGCAAGCCUGAACCAGCCAUGCCGCGUGCAGGAUGACGGUCCUAUGGAUUGUAAACUGCUUUUGUACGGGAAGAAACACUGAUUCGUGAAUCAGCUUGACGGUACCGUAAGAAUAAGGAUCGGCUAACUCCGUGCCAGCAGCCGCGGUAAUACGGAGGAUCCAAGCGUUAUCCGGAAUCAUUGGGUUUAAAGGGUCUGUAGGCGGUCUUGUAAGUCAGUGGUGAAAGCCCAUCGCUCAACGGUGGAACGGCCAUUGAUACUGCAGGACUUGAAUUAUUGGGAAGUAACUAGAAUAUGUAGUGUAGCGGUGAAAUGCUUAGAGAUUACAUGGAAUACCAAUUGCGAAGGCAGGUUACUACCAAUUGAUUGACGCUGAUGGACGAAAGCGUGGGUAGCGAACAGGAUUAGA